UACGUAGGGGGCAAGCGUUGUCCGGAUUUAUUGGGCGUAAAGGGCGUGUAGGCGGCCGUACAGGUCAGCUGUGAAAACUCGAGGCUCAACCUCGAGACGCCGAUGGAAACCGUUUGGCUAGAGUCCGGAAGAGGAGAGUGGAAUUCCUGGUGUAGCGGUGAAAUGCGCAGAUAUCAGGAAGAACACCCGUGGCUAAGGCGGCUCUCUAGUACGGUACUGACGCUGAGACGCGAAAGCGUGGGGAGCGAACAGG
rnacentral:rRNA from 1 species